AAAGAACGCUGGCGGCAGGCUUAACACAUGCAAGUCGAACGCCUCGCAAGGGGAGUGGCAGACGGGUGAGUAACGCGUGGGAACAUACCCUUUCCUGCGGAAUAGCUCUGGGAAACUGGAAUUAAUACCGCAUACGCCCUACGGGGGAAAGAUUUAUCGGGGAAGGAUUGGCCCGCGUUGGAUUAGCUAGUUGGUGGGGUAAAGGCCAACCAAGGCGACGAUCCAUAGCUGGUCUGAGAGGAUGAUCAGCCACAUUGGGACUGAGACACGGCCCAAACUCCUACGGGAUGCAGCAGUGGGGAAUAUUGGACAAUGGGCGCAAGCCUGAUCCAGCCAUGCCGCGUGAGUGAUGAAGGCCUUAGGGUUGUAAAGCUCUUUCACCGAUGAAGAUAAUGACGGUAGUCGGAGGAGAAGCCCCGGCUAACUUCGUGCCAGCAGCCGCAGUAAUAC
rnacentral:rRNA from 1 species